AUUGAACGCUGGCGGCAGGCCUAACACAUGCAAGUCGAACGGUAACAGGAAGAAGCUUGCUUCUUUGCUGACGAGUGGCGGACGGGUGAGUAAUGUCUGGGAAACUGCCUGAUGGAGGGGGAUAACUACUGGAAACGGUAGCUAAUACCGCAUAACGUCGCAAGACCAAAGAGGGGGACCUUCGGGCCUCUUGCCAUCGGAUGUGCCCAGAUGGGAUUAGCUAGUAGGUGGGGUAACGGCUCACCUAGGCGACGAUCCCUAGCUGGUCUGAGAGGAUGACCAGCCACACUGGAACUGAGACACGGUCCAGACUCCUACGGGAGGCAGCAGUGGGGAAUAUUGCACAAUGGGCGCAAGCCUGAUGCAGCCAUGCCGCGUGUAUGAAGAAGGCCUGCGGGUUGUAAAGUACUUUCAGCGGGGGGGAAGGGAGUAAAGUUAAGACCUUUGCUCAUUGACGUUACCCGCAGAAGAAGCACCGGCUAACUCCGG
rnacentral:rRNA from 1 species